GGCUCAAUGGUCUAGUCGUAUGAUUCGCGCUUCGGGAAUACUCCCUCACCUCCAAACAGGUGAUCAAAGAUGUGCGAGGUCCCGGGUUCAAAUCCCGGUUGAGCCC